CGACCUGCGCGCGGGGGAGGUGACCCGGUCGAUCCCCACCGGCGAGGGCGCCAAGUCCGUGGCGACCCACCCCCGUUCGGGCCGGGUGCUGGUCGUC
rnacentral:tRNA from 3 species